rnacentral:rRNA from 1 species
UGCAGUCGAACGGCAGCACGGGGGCAACCCUGGUGGCGAAGUGGCGAACGGGUGAGUAAUAAAUCGGAACGUGCCCGGUAGUGGGGGACAACCAGUCGAAAGACUGGCUAAUACCGCAUACGACCUACGGGUGAAAGCGGGGGACCUUUGGGCAACUGAGGGCCUCGCGCUAUCGGAGCGGCCGAUUUCCGAUUAGCUAGUUGGUGGGGUAAAAGCUCACCAAGGCGACGAUCGGUAGCUGGUCUGAGAGGACGGCCAGCCACACUGGGACUGAGACACGGCCCAGACUCCUACGGGAGGCAGCAGUGGGGAAUUUUGGACAAUGGGCGAAAGCCUGAUCCAGCCAUGCCGCGUGCGGGAAGAAGGCCUUCGGGUUGUAAACCGCUUUUGGCAGGAACGAAACGGCGCGGGCCAAUACCCCGCGUUAAUGACGGUACCUGCAGAAUAAGCACCGGCUAACUACGUGCCAGCAGCCGCGGUAAUACGUAGGGUGCGAGCGUUAAUCGGAAUUACUGGGCGUAAAGCGUACGCAGGCGGCUUGGUAAGACAGAUGUGAAAUCCCCGGGCCUAACCUGGGAACUGCAUUUGUGACUGCCAGGCUCGAGUCUGUCAGAGGGGGGUGGAAUUCCACGUGUAGCAGUGAAAUGCGUAGAGAUGUGGAGGAACACCGAUGGCGAAGGCAGCCCCCUGGGAUGAGACUGACGCUCAUGUACGA